rnacentral:lncRNA from 1 species
CUGCAGGGAACAAUCUAUGUUCACGUACCGUACCGGCGCGGUACCCGAUCAAACAUAUACAUAUCCGUACCAGUAUGGUACCCGAUCCAAUAUAUAUAUAAAUCCGUACCGGGGUGGUAUCUGAUCCAACAUAUACAUAUCCGUAACGGCGUAGUACCCGAUCCAAUAUAUACAAAUCCGUACCGGCGUGGUACCCGAUCUAAAAUUAAAUAUCUUAGUUAUACCCAUCAUCAUGGGGAUUACUACCCUCUAAAAGAGUCAUACAUCAGCUAACUCUAUAGGACAUGUACAUGCAUAAUUCAG